rnacentral:rRNA from 1 species
GCUGGAUUCGCUAGUAAUCGCGCAUCAGCCACGGCGCGGUGAAUACGUUCCCGGGCCUUGUACACACCGCCCGUCACACCAUGAGAGUUGGGAAUACCCGAAGCCUGUGAGCUAACUUUUAAGGGGCAGCAGUCGAAGGUAGAAUCAAUGAUUGGGGUGAAGUCGUAACAAGGUAUC